GAUGAAGAACGCAGCGAAAUGCGAUACUUGGUGUGAAUUGCAGAAUCCCGUGAACCAUCGAGUCUUUGAACGCAAGUUGCGCCCGAAGCCAUUAGGCCGAGGGCACGCCUGCCUGGGCGUCACACGUCGUUGCCCCCCCAUCUACUCCUUCGGGAUUGCGGGGGGCGGAUGAUGGCCUCUCGUGCGCCUCGUCGCGCGGUUGGCCUAAAUGCCAAGUCCUCGGCGACGCACGCCACGACAAUCGGUGGUUGCGAAACCUCGGUUGCCUGUCGUGUGCGGUCGUCGCGCAUCGAGGGCUCGAAAAAAUUGCCGGGCUUCGGCUCGACUUUCAACGCGACCCCAGGUCAGGCGGGGUUACCCGCUGAAUUUAAGCAUCUCAAUAAGCGGAGGA
rnacentral:misc_RNA from 1 species